UGUGGGAGCGAGCCUGCUCGCGAUAGCGGUGUGCCAGGCACCUUGAUGCUGAAGGUACUGGCGCAUUCGCGAGCAGGCUCGCUCCCACA
rnacentral:misc_RNA from 1 species